CCAGCCUCUACUGCCAUACCACCAACGUCCACAUCUGAUGUCAUGGGACGAUAUGAUAAAAUAGGAGGCAUUACUUCUGGAGUCAUCCUCAUAAAUGGUAUAUUCACAUACAUCAGUGAAAGAAUCCUCAUGAGUGAAUUUUGUUAACCAGAUGCUCAAUGUAUGCCAAACAUUACUGCUGAUUCAGCAUAACACGUUUCAAUAUCAUAUGCUGCAUCAUCACUGGUUCAUCAAUAAGCUUUCCAUUAAACAACCAACCUACACUGUAACCUUUGUUUUUAAUGCAGUUUACAUUAUUGCUUAGCAACUGAAUGUUUUAGGAUUAAUUCCAGAUCUCCCAAACCACAUACAGGAUGGCAAAGGUACUAGAAAGGAAUAUAGAUGUUUUGUGUCUGUACCCAGGUAUUAAGUGAGAUUCUCAAGGGUCUGUGCCUGUGAAUGGUGUUCACCACUGAUAGUUGUCCGUGUGUAGUUCACAUCUUAAAUUUCGAGUUAAGUGAGGUUCAAGACUUGGCCAUAUCACCAAAUUCUGUAUUCAGUAGUGAUUAGCAGCAGUAAUUAACUGAUGUUUUUGCCAAAAAAUAAUCUGUUCAGUCUCAUGUCACAAGCUGGUAUGUGUAAUAAGGAUUCUCAGGACUGCACCACUGACUUUCAUAGAAUCACAAACUGGCUGAGGUUUGCAGAGACCUAUGGAGGCCACCUGGUCCAACACUUGCUCAAGCAGGGACUCACAGAGCAGAGUGGCAAGGCCAGUGUCCAGGCAGCUUCUGAAGAUCUCCAAGGAGCAGGCUCCACAGACUGUGGGUAACCUGUGAUGGUGUUUCAUCACCCUCACAGCACAGAAGUGCUGCUCCUAUGUUCCAGUUUGUGCUCAUUUCCCUUGGUCCUGGCACUGAUGACCACUGAAAAGAGCCUGGCUUCAUCUUCUUUGUCAUCUCCUUUCAAGUGUUUAUACACAUUGAUGAGUUCCCAUCCUGAACUUUCUCCAGGCUGAACAGUCCCAGCUCUCAGCCUCUCCUCAUACAAGCGAUGCCCCAGCCCCUUGAUCAUCUUCAUGACCCUUUGAUGGAUUCUCUCCAGUGUGUCCACGUCUCUGUUGUACUGGAAGCCUAAGACUGGAUAUAAUAUCCAGGUGUGCCUGGUUCAUGCUUAGAGAACUACUGUAUCUUCUGAGAACAAGGUCUGAGAUCAUUAGGGUGUUCCUGGGAACUCCCAAAGAAACUUUAGGAUGCUGUCACUGUCAGAUAUGGACAAGAACUAGAGAGACACAAGGCUGCGCACCUGCGGAAGCUCCAGCAGCUUCUGAUGAUGUUGGUUCUGCCCUUGACCCCAUUGCCUAGCACCUUUGCUACAGCUGGGGAUGACCAAGCACCCUUUAAACUGGUGCAAGGGAGAUAUAGGAGUGCAUCACUUGGGGCAGUAGUCUGCUAUGCGCUUAGGGAAUACUUCUGCCUGGACAAAAGCAACACUACCUUUGGAAAGAGAAGAUGAUGCAUCGUGUUGUGUUUUCCUGAGAUUUUUAUUUGCAGAUGAGGCCUUUUUUCUGGUGUCUUUAGUUUCUGGAAGAGGAUAGCGACAGUGAAAAGUGCCUUCAGUGAAGGGCUUUAGAUAAAGUUAAAGCAGGAAUAGCAAGCAGAUUCAUAGAGAAGAAGUGACAAAUGAUCCCCAGAUAUCUUUACAGAAAUGGAAAUAACUUGCCCAGCACCACACUUGGCCAAGGGUAUAAACACAGCUCAGCUACUACCAUAGUAGGUGACAUAAAUUACAUGAUAUUUACCCAUGAAGUCUGUUUGCCAUCACCCAGGUUUUCUAGCUGCAGGCACUGAGUAAUUUAACUGCAAAUUCUGCUGCUUGAGUAGCACUCAGAAGUAUCAGGUAAGGCUCAUGUCUUCGUUUGUCAUAUGAGCAAUGACAGUCACAAUGACUUAUUCUGAAACACUUCAUCUGCAGUAGUCAGCUGCUGUCUACUACAACAAUACUUUACUAGACUCAGCUAUGAGAAGGCAGCUAUCAAAUACAGAACCUCGUAAUUCCCCCGCCCUCCACUCUCACAACGAGCUGUUCAAAAUAACUACCAUUAUCUGUGCUGACAUUAGUGCAUUUAUCUACACAUUGAGUUGUUUGAAGAAUGAUUGCCUCAAUAUGAAUGGAAGGGCUGUUGUGCUCUCUUUAAUGGUGUUUUCAAAAAAGUUCUGCACAUACUUACAUAUUCUGAUUUCUUUUUCUCCUUAAGACAGCCAAUGAAUAGCUGUGAAUAACUUUUUUGGCCAUUCACUGUUUUGAAGAUUUCAACCAUACCACAUUUCUGAAAGUUUAUAUACUGUAUAACAGACAUGCUUCAAAAAUUAUUGAUACUAUACCUUACCAUAAAACAUAUUCGUAAUGUACAUGUUAAUUCCUGUGGUGUCUGAGGAUAUAAUAAGGCCUUCUAUGUAUACACUCUCUCAUUAUUAAUCUCAUUAAUAAUCCUCUCAUUAUUAAACCACGUGCAUCUUCUGUUUACCAGAGUCCCAUUGUAUAAGAAUCCAGUAAGUUAAUUCUAUUGGUGAAAAAGGAUGGGCGAACACCAGCAGGUCAUCUCUUCAGGAAACUUAAUGGGCAUUCCAGCAUUUCCAGAUGUGUCUGAGAUGGGCUCAUCACAUAAAGAAGAUGUGGAAGCAUGGUGGAUAAAUACAGCGGUAUGAGGAAGCUUCCUAUUUUAACCCUGACAACAGCUUUUUCAGUUGCUGGCUGCUAAGGUUGACUUUGGAGAAAACUAUCCUUGAUGGAUAAGAUCUUGCCCCCAGACUGUUAUCAUGGGUACAUAGCUAAGGUGAUAUUUCCCACCACUAAUUCCAAAUUUAAUUCCAUCUGCUGUCUUUUCACCAUGUCACUUACUGUCAUGAUACACUUGUGUAGCUUCAUCUAAUGUGUUUUGGUUUGGAGAUUCCUGAACAAAUCCAAUAAUGGCCAUCGUUGUUGCCACAGUGUUCAUCCUCUCUUCCUAAUGUUGUAUGAACAUGCUCAAUAGUAUGGUCCAUAAGACAGCCUGAUGAUAGCUUCACCUCUACUACUGUGGAACCUGACCACUUUUUUCCUUUAACAGCUUAAUGGAUUGUGACAUAUCUGGGGCUGUUUUGGUCAAAUUAAAUACCUAGUUGUUUUCAGUAAGCUAGUCAUCCCAUCCAUUUGGUUAGCUGUAUAAUAAUGCUUUGUGGGCUGUUCAAAGUUGUUAAAGAAAUGGUAUUUUGCUUAUAAAAUCGUUCAUCUCU
ensembl:lncRNA